GUGAGGAAUAUUGCGCAAUGGAGGCAACUCUGACGCAGCCAUGCCGCGUGCAGGAAGAAGGCGCUACGCGUUGUAAACUGCUUUUAACCGGGAAGAAACCCCAGGACGUGUCCUGGGUUGACGGUACCGGAGGAAUAAGCACCGGCUAACUUCGUGCCAGCAGCCGCGGUAAUACGAAGGGUGCAAGCGUUAUCCGGAUUCAUUGGGUUUAAAGGGUGCGUAGGCGGAGCGUUAAGUCAGUGGUGAAAUCCUGCAGCUUAACUGUCGACUUGCCAGUGAUACUGGCGCUCUUGAGUGCGCUUGAAGGGGGCGGAAUGUGCCGUGUAGCGGGGAAAUGCUUAGAUAUGGCACAGAACACCAAUUGCGAAGGCAGCUCACUAAGGCGAUACUGACGCUGAGGCACGAAAGCGUGGGGAUCGAACAGGAUUAGAAACCCUAGUAGUCC
rnacentral:rRNA from 1 species